rnacentral:misc_RNA from 1 species
GAGAAUAUGGUAUAUUCAGGCACUAUUUUUAAUUAACCUAUCCAUAAUAGAUAGCUCAACUGCAAAUCUUCCCGUUCACAGGGUAAAAAUUUGUUUCUGUAUUUAGGUAUGGCACCUAGAUAUUUAAUAAGUAUUUAACGCUCAGAGUAAACAAUCCAGUCAUCAAUCAUGAGACUGUAAUAUCAAUGGUUAGGAUUCAUCCCACCACACUAUUUACUCGGUAUUAAAUAUCAACUUCAAUC